rnacentral:rRNA from 1 species
GACGAACGCUGGCGGCGUGCUUAACACAUGCAAGUCGAACGGAAAGGCCCUGCUUUUGUGGGGUGCUCGAGUGGCGAACGGGUGAGUAACACGUGAGUAACCUGCCCUUGACUUUGGGAUAACUUCAGGAAACUGGGGCUAAUACCGGAUAGGAGCUCCUGCUGCAUGGUGGGGGUUGGAAAGUUUCGGCGGUUGGGGAUGGACUCGCGGCGUAUCGGCUUGUUGGUGGGGUAGUGGCUUACCAAGGCUUUGACGGGUAGCCGGCCUGAGAGGGUGACCGGCCACAGUGGGACCGGGAGACGGCCCAGGCUGCUACGGGAGGCAGCAGUGGGGAAGAUUGCACAAUGGGCGGAAGCCUGAUGCAGCAACGCCGCGUGCGGGUUGACGGCCUUCGGGUUGUAGACCGCUUUCGCCUGUGACGAAGCGUGAGUGACGGUAAUGGGUAAAGAAGCACCGGCUAACUACGUG